rnacentral:rRNA from 1 species
GCAGUCGAGGGGUAUAGGUUUUCGGACCUAGAGACCGGCGCACGGGUGCGUAACGCGUAUGCAAUCUACCUUUUACAGAGGGAUAGCCCAGAGAAAUUUGGAUUAAUACCUCAUAGUAUUAUUGAAUGGCAUCAUUUAAUAAUUAAAGUCACAACGGUAAAAGAUGAGCAUGCGUCCCAUUAGCUUGUAGGUAAGGUAACGGCUUACCAAGGCAACGAUGGGUAGGGGUCCUGAGAGGGAGAUCCCCCACACUGGUACUGAGACACGGACCAGACUCCUACGGGAGGCAGCAGUGAGGAAUAUUGGUCAAUGGGCGCAAGCCUGAACCAGCCAUGCCGCGUGCAGGAUGACGGUCCUAUGGAUUGUAAACUGCUUUUGUACAGGAAGAAACAGUUCUACGUGUAGAACCUUGACGGUACUGUAAGAAUAAGGAUCGGCUAACUCCGUGCCAGCAGCCGCGGUAAUACGGAGGAUCCAAGCGUUAUCCGGAAUCAUUGGGUUUAAAGGGUCCGUAGGCGGUUUUGUAAGUCAGUGGUGAAAGCCCAUCGCUCAACGGUGGAACGGCCAUUGAUACUGCAAGACUUGAAUUAUUGGGAAGUAACUAGAAUAUGUAGUGUAGCGGUGAAAUGCUUAGAGAUUACAUGGAAUACCAAUUGCGAAGGCAGGUUACUACCAAUAUAUUGACGCUGAUGGACGAAAGCGUGGGGAGCGAACAGGAUUAGAUACCCUGGUAGUC